rnacentral:lncRNA from 1 species
CAGUAUUCUUGGUUGGAAUCCAUUAUUUUUCAGCGUUUGAAAUACAUUGUUCCAGGAUCUUCUCGCUUUCAAAGUCUGUGAUGAAAAAUCAGCCGUUAACCUAAUUGGUUUACCCCUGAAUGUAAUCUGCCUCCUUUCCCUCGUAGCUUUUAAUAUUCUCUCCUUGUUCUGUAUGUUGGCUGUCUUCAUAAUUAUAUGUCUUGGAGUUGGCCUAUUACAGUUUUGGAUGUUUGGGGUCCUGUAGGCUUCUAGGAUUUGGCAAUCCAUUCCAUCUUUCAUCUCUGGGAAGUUUUCUAGGAUUAUUU